rnacentral:tRNA from 1 species
GCCUGGCUGGUUCAGGGGGUAGAGCAUGUGGCUCUUGGUCUCAGGGUCGUGAGUUCAAGCCCCAUGUUGGGCG